GCCAGGCAUGGUAGCGCACGCCUGUAAUCCCAGCUACUCAGGAGGCUGAGGCAUGAGAAUUGCUUGAACCCAGGAGGCAGAGGUUGCAGUGAGCUGAGAUCAUGCCACUGCACUCUAGCCUGGGCAACAAAGCAAGAUCCUGUCUCAA
rnacentral:SRP_RNA from 2 species